AUUGAACGCUGGCGGCAGGCCUAACACAUGCAAGUCGAACGAGUGGCGGACGGGUGAGUAAUGUCUGGGAAACUGCCUGAUGGAGGGGGAUAACUACUGGAAACGGUAGCUAAUACCGCAUACCAUCAGAUGUGCCCAGAUGGGGUUAGCUAGUAGGUGGGGUAAUGGCUCACCUAGGCGACGAUCCCUAGCUGGUCUGAGCGGAGGACCAGCCACACUGGAACGGAGACACGGUCCAGACCCCUACGGUAGGCAGCAGUGGGGAAGAGUGCACAAUGGGCGCAAGCCUGAUGCAGCCAUGCCGCGUGUGUGAAGAAGGCCUUCGGGGUGUAAAGCACUUUCAGCGGGGAGGCGUUACCCGCAGAAGAAGCACCGGCUAACUCCGUGCCAGCAGCCGCGGUAAUAC
rnacentral:rRNA from 1 species